CCGAGUUAUACACUCACCAAACCCACUGUAAAUAUACCUUAAUCAGCCCCUCCGGCAGGCGGCCCCAGGGCGGGGCCUCAGCCUAUGGCGCCUGCCGAAGGCGGCACAACUUUUGCUCUUAUAAGUACAAUCUGAGUCUAAAGACAAAAUAUCA
rnacentral:misc_RNA from 1 species